UACGUAGGGUGCGAGCGUUGUCCGGAAUUAUUGGGCGUAAAGGGCUCGUAGGCGGUUUGUUGCGUCGGGUGUGAAAACCUUGGGCUUAACUCAGGGCUUGCUUUCGAUACGGGCAGACUAGAGGUAUGCAGGGGAGAACGGAAUUCCUGGUGUAGCGGUGAAAUGCGCAGAUAUCAGGAGGAACACCGGUGGCGAAGGCGGUUCUCUGGGCAUGAUCUGACGCUGAGGAGCGAAAGUGUGGGGAGCGAACAGG
rnacentral:rRNA from 1 species